AAUCAACGCUGGCGGCGUGCCUCAGACAUGCAAGUCGAACGCGAAAGUCCCCUUCGGGGGACAAGUAGAGUGGCGCACGGGUGAGUAACACGUAGGUAAUCUACCUUCGGAUGGGGAAUAACAACCGGAAACGGUUGCUAAUACCGCAUAAUGCAGCGGCACCUAAUGGUGACAGUUGUUGAAGCGGGGGAUCGAAAGACCUCGCGUCUGAAGAGGAGCCUGCGGCGGAUUAGCAGUUGGUAAGGUAAUGGCUUACCAAGGCGACGAUCCGUAGCCGGCCUGAGAGGGCGGUCGGCCACACUGACACUGACAUACGGGUCAGACUCCUACGGGAGGCAGCAGUCGGGAAUUUUGGGCAAUGGGCGAAAGCCUGAUCCAGCCAUGCCGCGUGAGUGAAGAAGGCCUUAGGGUUGUAAAGCUCUUUCAGCGGGGAAGAUAAUGACGGUACCCGCAGAAGAA
rnacentral:rRNA from 1 species